UCGCUGAACAAGUUUUGUUUCCGGCAAGCUUUUUUUUCACCUAGCCGACAGCCGAUAUAGUCGUGCUUAUAAAAAAAAAGUGUGUUAAAAGUUAUAAAUGUGUGAAAUAUUGAUUCACGUAUCUCCUGCGCAGACCUGGCAGCGCCGUUGAUCUGGCAACGCCUCUCGGACCAGAUCAACCAUUGCGAUAGGUUGGCAGCACUACCAGCAAUUUAUUUUCAACAACAAAUAAUUGCAAAAAUUAUGAAUUUGCAACUACUUUGGUCUGGCUUAUUUUAAAUCGUCUCGAUCGUGAAGCUGAACACCUGCGCACUACCACUCUGCACAAACUCCUAGCUGGCUAUACGAAUGACUGGCUACCCCAGCUAAUCUGACAACGACGAUGGAAGUUACCGACGUGGCAAACCUUACAAUGCAGAGCGAUUUCGCAAGGAGAACGGAAAAGACGUGCGAAAGAGGAGGAUUUUACGACGAGGAAGUAGAAGACGUGCCGACAAAAGACGCUCUUGGCAAAAACCCU